GAAAUGCGAUAAGUAGUGUGAAUUGCAGAAUUCAGUGAAUCAUCGAAUCUUUGAACGCACAUUGCGCCCCUUGGUAUUCCAUGGGGCAUGCCUGUUCGAGCGUCAUUUGUACCCUCAAGCUCUGCUUGCUGUUGGGUGUUUGUCCCGUCUCCGCGCGUGGACUCGCCCCAAAGUGAUUGGCAGCCGGCGUACUGGUCCCGGAGCGCAGCACAUGUCGCGCAAACGAGUGCCUUGGUACGGCGGCGUCCAUAAGCCCCUCUCUCACGCUCUUGACCUCGGAUCAGGUAGGGAUACCCGCUGAACUUAAGC
rnacentral:misc_RNA from 1 species